rnacentral:rRNA from 1 species
AACAGUUGGAAACGACUGCUAAUACCGCAUAAGCCCACGACCCGGCAUCGGGCAGAGGGAAAAGGAGCAAUCCGCUUUGAGAUGGCCUCGCGUCCGAUUAGCUAGUUGGUGAGGUAAUGGCCCACCAAGGCGACGAUCGGUAGCCGGACUGAGAGGUUGAACGGCCACAUUGGGACUGAGACACGGCCCAGACUCCUACGGGAGGCAGCAGUGGGGAAUAUUGCACAAUGGGGGAAACCCUGAUGCAGCGACGCCGCGUGGAGGAAGAAGGUCUUCGGAUUGUAAACUCCUGUUGUUGAGGAGGAUAAUGACGGUACUCAACAAGGAAGUGACGGCUAACUACGUGCCAGCAGCCGCGGUAAAACGUAGGUCACAAGCGUUGUCCGGAAUUACUGGGUGUAAAGGGAGCGCAGGCGGGAAGGCAAGUUGGAAGUGAAAUCCAUGGGCUCAACCCAUGAACUGCUUUCAAAACUGUUUUUCUUGAGUAGUGCAGAGGUAGGCGGUAUUCCCGGUGUAGCGGUGGAAUGCGUAGAUAUCGGGAGGAACACCAGUGGCGAAGGCGGCCUACUGGGCACCAACUGACGCUGAGGCUCGAAAGUGUGGGUAGCAAACAGGAUUAGAUACCCUGGUAGUCCACACCGUAAACGAUGAUUACUAGGUGUUAGAGGAUUG